ensembl:lncRNA
UGCCAUUUUUGUUUUAUCAACGGACGGAGAUGGAUUACGAACUUGCAAGUCCUGGUGUGCUCUGUUCACUUUCAACCGAGGAACUCUUAACAAAAAUACAAGAGUGGGGCUUAGAUGUCACCGAAGCUGAAGCUCAGCGUUUCAGAGACAAUGAGGUUGAUGGUGACACAGUUGACUGCGGUCUUACUGAGACUAUGGUUGCAUACCUUUUCCAAGGAUCCUUCAAAAAGCAGGUUAAAUUCAACCAAUUUGUGUCAAGGAUGAAGGAAUCUUCAGUGACGCUGACUCUACAGACUGUCUCUCCAGAAGACUGGCAACCAUCUACUUCGUCAACUUCAAUAAGCAAUGAAAAUACUUUGAGACUGCCAGCCUCUUUUGAAAUUCCAAGAUUUCCCAAAAAUCUGCAACUAAAACUGGACAACAAAGAACCGUGCCAUAAAAAUCCAAGGGACAGACACACAAUAAUCAGAGUUCUAUAUGAAGCUGUGGCACAGUAUACUAUGUAUCCCACAAAUUCUGAAUAUGUGCAAGCUGUGAAGACGCUGGUAAUGAAGUAUCCUUUCCUCAAGGAUCGUGAGGGAAAUGGUUAUCACACAUGGCAUAUGUCUUUGAGACGUAAAUUCAAAUCAGAGCGGGCACCACUAGUCGACAGUGGUAAGGAGAAGUUUGGUUCUACGAGGAGAGGGCAGCCUAAUAAAUGUCAACGAACAAGUCAGAGAAAUGUUUGUCAGGUUGGUGUGAGGGACAUCUUGAGCUAUAAAAUGUUCUUGCAUCUGUUAUUACAUCUAAAACUAAGGAUUAGGGAUGCAACUGUACCCCUUUUUUCAAACCGAAACAAUACCAAUACUUGGAUUAGAGCACUUGCUAAUACAAAGUACCAGUGCUAAUACUUCUACCUCACAAAAAAUUAUUAAUUGGAAGGCGCUAAAAGAGGGUGAACUAGACUAAAAAAAAUAAAAAAAUUUUUUUUUUAAAUAUGACUCCAAAACUAAAAUUUCAAGUUAACAAUUAAGAUUUUAUGUGAAAUUAUUUCAGAGUUUCCAUAUUUUAAAUAUUGGUUCAUGGUAUCGGUUAACUUUAACCGAUACAAGUUCUUUGUGAUGCACAGAUCGUGUCAGCUCUAAUUGUAUAUUUAGUCUUAU